rnacentral:tRNA from 1 species
GGCUAUGUAGCUUAGACGGUUAGAGCGCAGCACUCAUAAUGCUGAGGCCGGUGGUUCGAGUCCACCCAUAGCCA